GACGAACGCUGGCGGCGUGCCUAAUACAUGCAAGUCGAGCGGACUUGACAGAGCUUGCUCUGUUCAAGUUAGCGGCGGACGGGUGAGUAACACGUGGGCAACCUGCCCUGCAGAUUGGGAUAACUCCGGGAAACCGGGGCUAAUACCGAAUAACAUUGAAAACCUCAUGGUUUUCUUUCAAAAUGCGGCUUCGGCUGUCACUGCAGGAUGGGCCCGCGGCGCAUUAGCUAGUUGGUGAGGUAACGGCUCACCAAGGCAACGAUGCGUAGCCGACCUGAGAGGGUGAUCGGCCACACUGGGACUGAGACACGGCCCAGACUCCUACGGGAGGCAGCAGUAGGGAAUCUUCCGCAAUGGACGAAAGUCUGACGGAGCAACGCCGCGUGAGUGAAGAAGGUUUUCGGAUCGUAAAACUCUGUUGUUAGGGAAGAACAAGUAUCGGAGUAACUGCCGGUACCUUGACGGUACCUGACCAGAAAGCCACGGCUAACUACGUGCCAGCCGCCGCUGUAAAAC
rnacentral:rRNA from 1 species